rnacentral:rRNA from 1 species
CCUACGGGUGGCAGCAGUGAGGAAUAUUGGUCAAUGGCCGUAAGGCUGAACCAGCCACGUCGCGUGAAUGAAGAAUGAUCUAUUGUUUGUAAACUUCUUUUAUAGGGGAAUAAAGGUCUCCACGUGUGGAGAUUUGCAUGUACCCUAUGAGUACGCAGCCGCUAACUCAGUGCCAGCAGCAGCGGUAAUACGUAGGAUGCGAGCGUUAUCCGGAUUUAGUGGGUUUAAAGGGUGCGUAGGUUGUUUUUUAAGUCAGCGGUGAAAGUUUGUGGCUCAACCAUAAAAUUGCCGUUGAAACUGGAAGACUGGAGUGUGUUUGAGGUAGGCGGAAUGCGUGGUGUAGCGGUGAAAUGCAUAGAUAUCACGCAGAACUCCGAUUGCGAAGGCAGCUUACUAAGCCAUAACUGACACUGAAGCACGAAAGCGUGGGGAUCAAACAGGAUUAGAUACCCUUGUAGUC